UACGGAGGGGGCUAGCGUUGUUCGGAAUUACUGGGCGUAAAGCGCACGUAGGCGGACUGUUAAGUCGGGGGUGAAAUCCUGGGGCUCAACCUCAGAAUUGCCUCCGAUACUGGCAGCCUCGAGUGCGGGAGAGGUGAGUGGAAUUCCCAGUGUAGAGGUGAAAUUCGUAGAUAUUGGGAAGAACACCAGUGGCGAAGGCGGCUCACUGGCCCGUAACUGACGCUGAGGUGCGAAGGCGUGGGGAGCAAACAGG
rnacentral:rRNA from 1 species